UCCAUUAAAUUUCACCAGCUUUCUUCACAGAUAAGUUAAGAAUUUAAAUAUACAAAAUGUUACUUUCCCCAAAAAUGAGCUGGAGCGCACUACAGAAAACUUUAAUAAAAUGGAGAACCCUAGAAAAUGAACUCGCACCUCUUACUUCCAUUCCCAACAAUGAUUGAAUCUCUUGCUUCCAAUGUCAUGCAACUGGCUUUGAUCAUCCAAAAGGAAAUCGAGGAAGAGAAGAAGCAAAUCAAUGAUGAAUGGAUUCAGCUUUGGUUUCAAGAUCUACAAGACGAUGUAUCAGAUGAGUGGAAGAAAUCAGAAAUAGAGGGAGUAGAUGAUUCUCACGUCCUUGCUAAGAAGGCAAAGAAGUUUUGGAGUACUCUUAAGAUCCGUUUGUUUUGAUGUAUUUCAUCAUUUAACAUAUGAUGACACUGGAUUCGAGUGAUACUUAUGGCAAGCAACAACUUCAGCCCCAAGGAACAAUGGAGGUAGAAGUGAUGAAGUCAGCAUAUUGUCAUGAGCAUUACUCCACUUUUCUCUCUCUCUCUCUCUGACUUUCUUAUUGUGACUCUAGUGAGAACGGCUCUUUGUAAUAGCUUGUCAUUAUACUGGUUAUUCUCCCUUUCCAUUAUACAUUUGUACUUUGUACUUGUAGAAGAAUAAGUGAAUGAUUUUGCAUUUUGUAUUUUGUAUUUUGUAAUAUGUUGUAAGAGCUUCAGUGUGAGUUUGAGGUCCUCUAGUUGUGGGAAAAUCCUCCAGUAACCUGAAGUGGUGAUCUUUUAUUUUUAA